GACAGUGUGGUGCAGUGGUCUGAACGCUGGACUGUAACUCUGGAGACCAGGGUUCAAAUCCCUGCUCAGACA